GGUGGCAUGCCUAAUACAUGCAAGUCGAACGAGAAAGCACCUUCGGGUGUAAGUACAGUGGCGCACGGGUGAGUAACGCGUAGGUGAUAUGCCUGUUAGUGGGGGACAACAUCGUGAAAACGGUGCUAAUACCGCAUAAGCUUAGUGACAUUGAAAAAGCUAAGGAAAGGGGCUUCGGUCUCGCUGACAGAUUGGCCUGCGUAGCAUUAGCUUGUUGUGGGGUAAUGGCCUACCAAGGCAACGAUGCUUAGCUGGUCUGAGAGGAUGAUCAGUCACACUGGAACUGAGACACGGUCCAGACUCCUACGGGAGGCAGCAGUAGGGAAUAUUGCGCAAUGGAGGAAACUCUGACGCAGCAAUGCCACGUGAGUGAGGAAGGUCUUCGGAUUGUAAAGCUCUGUCCUAUAGGAAGAACGGCACUAGGUAACGCUAGUGUUUGACGGUACUAUAGAAGAAAGCACCGGCUAACUCCGUG
rnacentral:rRNA from 1 species